UACGUAGGGUGCAAGCGUUAAUCGGAAUUACUGGGCGUAAAGCGUGCGCAGGCGGUUAUGCAAGACAGAUGUGAAAUCCCCGGGCUCAACCUGGGACUGCAUUUGUGACUGCAUAGCUAGAGUGCGGCAGAGGGAGAUGGAAUUCCGCGUGUAGCAGUGAAAUGCGUAGAUAUGCGGAGGAACACCGAUGGCGAAGGCAAUCUCCUGGGCCUGCACUGACGCUCAUGCACGAAGCGUGGGAGCAACAGG
rnacentral:rRNA from 1 species